rnacentral:rRNA from 1 species
UNUGAAGUUAAAGGCUGUGGCUCAACCAUAGUUCGCUUUGGAAACUGUCAAACUNGAGUGCAGAAGGGGAGAGUGGAAUUCCAUGUGUAGCGGUGAAAUGCGUAGAUAUAUGGAGGAACACCGGUGGCGAAAGCGGCUCUCUGGUCUGUAACUGACGCUGAGGCUCGAAAGCGUGGGGAGCGAACAGGAUUAGAUACCCUGGUAGUCCACGCCGUAAACGAUGAGUGCUAGGUGUUGGAUCCUUUCCGGGAUUCAGUGCCGCAGCUAACGCAUUAAGCACUCCGCCUGGGGAGUACGACCGCAAGGUUGAAACUCAAAGGAAUUGACGGGGGCCCGCACAAGCGGUGGAGCAUGUGGUUUAAUUCGAAGCAACGCGAAGAACCUUACCAGGUCUUGACAUCCCGAUGCUAUUUCUAGAGAUAGGAAGUUACUUCGGUACAUCGGUGACAGGUGGUGCAUGGUUGUCGUCAGCUCGUGUCGUGAGAUGUUGGGUUAAGGCCCGCAACGAGCGCAACCCCUAUUGUUAGUUGCCAUCAUUCAGUUGGGCACUCUAGCAAGACUGCCGGUAAUAAACCGGAGGAAGGUGGGGAUGACGUCAAAUCAUCAUGCCCCUUAUGACCUGGGCUACACACGUGCUACAAUGGUUGGUACAACGAGUUGCGAGUCGGUGACGGCGAGCUAAUCUCUUAAAGCCAAUCUCAGUUCGGAUUGUAGGCUGCAACUCGCCUACAUGAAGUCGGAAUCGCUAGUAAUCGCGGAUCAGCACGCCGCGGUGAAUACGUUCCCGGGCCUUGUACACACCGCCCGUCACACCACGAGAGUUUGUAACACCCGAAGUCGGUGAGGUAACCUUAUGGAG